ACAAUGGUUCCUUUUGGAACCAAAUUUUCUUGAUUAUAAUUUUUUU
rfam:Cephalotus follicularis DNA, scaffold: scaffold4959, isolate: St1.